rnacentral:rRNA from 1 species
CGGAGGAUCCAAGCGUUAUCCGGAUUUAUGGGUUUAAAGGGUGCGUAGGCGGCCUGUUAAGUCAGGGGUGAAAGACGGUAGCUCAACUAUCGCAGUGCCCUUGAUGCUGAUGGGCUUGAAUACACUAGAGGUAGGCGGAAUGUGACAAGUAGCGGUGAAAUGCAUAGAUAUGUCACAGAACACCGAUUGCGAAGGCAGCUUACUAUGGUGUCAUUGACGCUGAGGCACGAAAGCGUGGGGAUCAAACAGGAUUAGAUACCCUGGUAGUCCACGCCCUAAACGAUGAAUACUCGCUGUUGGCGAUACACAGUCAGCGGCUAAGCGAAAGCGUUAAGUAUUCCACCUGGGGAGUACGCUCGCAAGAGUG